UUAGUAAUUAAUUAGAGGAUGUUCCCUAAUUGGUUUAAUCAUAAGGAGAGAUAAUGGUGGUGAAAAGCGUCUUCCAUCUCCAUAACUAAUCUAUUGAAUCAACCCAAAAGAACAAAGUGUCUGUGAUCAAUCCCAACAACUAAAGUGGAUCCAAUACUUCAACUAGAGCUUUCUCAUUAUUGAUUACUUUUUAUUUAAUUAUUUGUUUUCCAUUAUUUUUCUCAUUAUUAGUUUACUACAAUCAAUCUCAAACCCCCCUGUUAUUUUGUUGACAGUUUUGAUCCCAAUUUUCAGUUUAUCUCAUUUGAUCCCACUUUCAGUUUUUAUCUCAUUUUUAGUUUAUUAUUGUUUCAGUUUAUUUUCUUGGUCCCAAAAAGAGAAAUAGGUGAGUUCUCAAUUCCCUGUGGAUUCGAUUCUUUCACCACUAUCUGCAGUUGUAAAUUGUUGAUAACCAGAAAGGUUAUUUUUGACCGGCUUCGACAAC
rnacentral:lncRNA from 1 species